rnacentral:lncRNA from 1 species
UUUGUCAAAAUUUUCAUCAACAAAAGCUUGGCUGAUUUGAAUCAUGCGAUCCGCACGGAAAUUGAAAUUGAUCACAACAUCUCCUUCUUCAAUUGUACCCCAGGGCUUCCCAUCAGAUUUUUUAAUGAUAACAAAUGGAGGUAAAUAUUGAUCAUUGCAAUGUGGAUCUUUUUUCUUCAAAUCAGUAAUUGCUUCUACUGCACUCUCAUACUUGUUGGGUGAAUCUCCAAGCACAUGAGCAUACCAACCGCGCCUUACAAUUCGCCAAUCAGUCUAGUAUUGUUGAAUUAUUCAAUUUGAUGCAAUCAUUUUUAUGAAUAAUUCAUAUUGAAAUGAAUAUUUACAUAAAAUAAGAUUGGAAGCAACCAUUAAGUUGUGUAAUUGUUGUUAUAUAUAUAUAUAUAUAUAUACAUAUGUAUGUAUGUAUAUUUUAAUGAAGAAGUUUAUCUUAACAAAUCUAAUUCCACAUAAACCCAAAUUACAAUACAAUUCACUUAGGCAUACAUUCCAAUGGUCCAUAGUGACAAACAUGCGGCCUCCUCCAGAUGCAAUUCUUGCAUCACAUCCCCAUUUGCGGAGUUCAUCUAAGUCCUUCUCCAAUUGCUCUACAAAGUGGAUGCUUGUGCCUUCGUUCACAUCUCUCCCAUCCAAUAACACAUGGAAGC